rfam:Triticum urartu cultivar G1812 contig105923, whole genome shotgun sequence.
CAUAUACUCUAUUUAUUCGGAAAUACUUGUCGGAGUAAUGGAUGGAUGUAUCUAGACGUAUUUUAGUUUUAGAUAUAUCUAUUUUUAUCCAUUUCUUUGACAAGUAUUUUCGGCCGGAAGGUGCAAUUG